rnacentral:rRNA from 1 species
CAGCAGCCGCCGCGUUAAUACGAAGGGGGCUAGCGUUGCUCGGAAUUACUGGGCGUAAAGGGAGCGUAGGCGGAUCGUUAAGUUGGGGGUGAAAGCCCGGGGCUCAACCUCGGAACUGCCUUCAAUACUGGCGAUCUUGAGUAUGAGAGAGGUGUGUGGAACUCCGAGUGUAGAGGUGAAAUUCGUAGAUAUUCGGAAGAACACCAGUGGCGAAGGCGACACACUGGCUCAUUACUGACGCUGAGGCUCGAAAGCGUGGGGAGCAAACAGGAUUAGAGACCCCUGUAGUCCCUGUCUCUUAUAC